AUGUUGUGUCUUCUUGGGCGUUUCCUCCCUAAACUUGGGCCGCACCUUCGGGUGCGGCCUCUUCUUUUUCCGGC
rnacentral:sRNA from 1 species